GUCCUAGCCCUAAACGGUGUGCGUUUGCUGUGGGAGGAAUCGACCCCUUCCGUGGCGAAGCUAACGCGAUAAACGCACCGCCUGGGGAGUACGGUCGCAAGAUUAAAACUCAAAGAAAUUGACGGGGCCUGCACAAGCGGUGGAGUAUGUGGCUUAAUUCGAUGCAACGCGAAGAACCUUACCUGGCCUUGACAUGCAUUUGGUAGAACCGUGAAAGCGGGACGACCCCGCAAGGGGAGGAUGCACAGGUGCUGCAUGGCUGUCGU
rnacentral:rRNA from 1 species